rnacentral:rRNA from 1 species
AUUGAACGCUGGCGGCAGGCCUAACACAUGCAAGUCGAGCGAGCGGCGGACGGGUGAGUAAUGUCUGGGAAACUGCCUGAUGGAGGGGGAUAACUACUGGAAACGGUAGCUAAUACCGCAUACCAUCAGAUGUGCCCAGGUGGGAGUAGCUGGUAGGUGGGGUAACGGCUCACCUAGGCGACGAGCCCUAGCUGGUCGUAGAGGAUGACCAGCAAAACUGGAACUGAGACACGGGCCAGACUCCUACGGGAGGCAGCAGUGGGGAAUAUGGCACAAUGGGCGCAAGCCUGAUGCAGCCAGGCCGCGUGUGUGAAGAAGGCCUUCGGGUUGUAAAGCACUUUCAGCGGGGAGGCGUUACCCGCAGAAGAAGCACCGGCUAACUCCGUGCCAGCCGCCGCGGUAAUAC